UAAAAGUCGUAACAAGGUUUCCGUAGGUGAACCUGCGGAAGGAUCAUUACCGAAGCUAACGUGUCUUUACACACACACUGUGAACUGUACACUACGCGUGACGGGGUGUCUCACCGAUCCGAGACUUGAAUGCAUGAGCGAAUGCAGCCCCUCAUUCAGUGAAACCUAUACACUGUUGUUCCGUCGCCUGCGGUCGCGUUGUUGACCGACCGACCGCAAGACAAACAAACAAGAGACAACUUCUAACGGUGGAUCUCUUGGCUCGUGCAUCGAUGAAGAACGUAGCCAGUUGCGAUAAGUAAUGUGAAUUGCAGAAUGAAGUGAAUCAUCGAAUCUUUGAACGCAAAUUGCACUCUCUGGAUAUCCAGGGAGUAUAUCUGUCUGAGUGUCGUGAAACAAAUCCAUACACUCGGGUGUAGCUAAGAGGCUCACGGUGCACCCGUCGCCCUGUCCUCUCAUGUUUCUGACAGUCUUUGCAUUGCGUGAACUCGCACGGCGAAGAAGGCUCAACUCGCUUCUGUCCUUCCCGCAGUCGAGACACCUCUGCGCGUGUGCUGUCCAAGUCCACCCACGGCGGACAAACACCAACCAAUGACCUCAGAUCAGGUAAGACUACCCGCUGAAUUUAAGCAUAUCAAUA
rnacentral:rRNA from 1 species